UGUGUAGUGUUUUUGCGAAUCAUGCAAGGCUAAAUGCUCUCUCUCCUUCUCUUUAAAUUCCUGUACGGUAUUAGGAAUCUUAAAAUGAUAAGAUAACACCUUAUCCUGGUAAUGAGGCUAUAAGGCCUUAUGUUCAGAAUAAGAAUUUAGCUUGAUACUAAGAGCCGGUCCUGACAAGUAAGAAUUUAGCUAGAUGCUAAAAGUCGGUCCUAAUAGACAAGAAUUUAGCUGAAUGCUAAAAAUCUGUCCCGACAAGGUAAGUCCUAUGAAGGCACCAUAGGGGACUGAAUACUUGCAUUCGCUAAGUUAUGUGUCUCGUAAGAGGCACCAAAGGGAUUGAAUGCCUGCAUUUGUUGAGUUUUGAUAGUCCUACAAGGGGCACCAAGGGGACUGAAUACCUGCAUUUGCCGAGUUAUGUUUUGAGCAUAGAUCAUUGAAGCGUCUGUAGUUGAUAUAAUCAACACUCAGAGCCUUGGUUUUGCACAUUAAACAGAAGGACAGGGCUUUUUCCAAGAAGCAGUGAAUAGUGAGAAGAGAAAAUGGCUGGAGGUGGAGGAGCAACAAAAUCAAAUGAGCAGCGCCACACUCACCAGAAGAUCAGGUGUCCAACAGAGGAAGCAAGCUAACAAUUGGGAGAGGUGGAAUGUUGAAAGUUCAGCACUUGGUUUCAGUUGCAAGAUCUUCUGCUAUGCACCAACACAACACAUCUGGUUAUCUGCAAUCCAAUCGAAUUGCUUAUGUUGAGUUCUUUGUGAAACCGGAGGUUGAUGGUGAUGAUACAUAAGCUUCUGUGACUGUAUCAAAACCAGAGGAAGAACACCAAUGGUUCAUACGCCUUUCCAAAGCAAAUUUAGUUCAGGUUACAUCAGUAUCAAAACUAGAGGAAGAAUAACAAUGGUUUUCAGCAACAUGUUUGACUUUACUCUGUUAUUUGCGGUUCCAAAAAAAAAAACUCGAAACUUGACCCGGCCCGACCCAAGGACUUGGGUUAUAUGCAGUCUUCCGUUUCGGUUCGGUAUCAUGUAAACCCGAACAGAACUGAACUGUUGACAUCCCUAGCAUCAAUCCAUGUUGUUCACAUUACA